AUUGAACGCUGGCGGCAGGCUUAACACAUGCAAGUCGAGCGGGGUGAUGGUGCUUGCACUAUCACUUAGCGGCGGACGGGUGAGUAAUGCUUAGGAAUCUGCCUAUUAGUGGGGGACAACAUUUCGAAAGGAAUGCUAAUACCGCAUACGUCCUACGGGAGAAAGCGGGGGAUCACUUGUGACCUUGCGCUAAUAGAUGAGCCUAAGUCGGAUUAGCUAGUUGGUGGGGUAAAGGCCUACCAAGGCGACGAUCUGUAGCGGGUCUGAGAGGAUGGUCCGCCAGACUGGGACUGAGAAACGGCCCAGACUCCUACGGGAGGCAGCAGUGGGGAAUAUUGGACAAUGGGGGGAACCCUGAUCCAGCCAUGCCGCGUGUGUGAAGAAGGCCUUAUGGUUGUAAAGCACUUUAAGCGAGGAGGAGGCUCUUUUGGUUAAUACCCAAGAUGAGUGAACGCUACUCGCAGAAUAAGCACCGGCUAACUCUGUGCCAGCCGCCACCGUAAAAC
rnacentral:rRNA from 1 species